rnacentral:rRNA from 1 species
UGGUGGAGUGAUUUGUCUGGUUAAUUCCGUUAACGAACGAGACCUCGACCUGCUAAAUAGUACGGCGAAUUCUUCGGGAUUCGUACGCACUUCUUAGAGGGACUAUCGGUGUGUAGCCGAUGGAAGCUCGAGGCAAUAACA